rnacentral:rRNA from 1 species
CCUACGGGCGGCUGCAGUGAGGAAUAUUGGUCAAUGGGCGGGAGCCUGAACCAGCCAAGUCGCGUGAGGGAAGACGGUCCUAUGGAUUGUAAACCUCUUUAGGCGGGGAGCAAUGCCGGGCACGUGUGCCCGGAGGGAGAGUACCCGCCGAAUAAGCAUCGGAUAACUCCGUGCCAGCAGCCGCGGUAAUCCGGGGGCUGCGAGCGUUAUCCGGUUUGAUUGGGUUUAAGGGGUGCGUAGGCGGAUUUUUAAGUAAGCGGUAAAAUGUCGGGGCUCACCCCGGGCCGGCCGUUGAAACUGGGGGUCUUGAGUGGGCGAGAAGUAUGCGGAAUGCGUGGUGUAGCGGUGAAAUGCAUAGAUAUCGCGCAGAACUCCGAUUGUGAAGGCAGCAUACCGGCGCCCGACUGACGCUGAGGCACGAAAGCGUGGGGAUCGAACAGGAUUAGAUACCCGGGUAGUC